GGACCCGCGUCUGAUUAGGUAGUUGGUGAGGUAACGGCCCACCAAGCCGACGAUCAGUAGCCGACCUGAGAGGGUGACCGGCCACAUUGGGACUGAGACACGGCCCAGACUCCUACGGGAGGCAGCAGUGGGGAAUAUUGCACAAUGGGCGAAAGCCUGAUGCAGCGACGCCGCGUGAAGGAUGAAGUAUUUCGGUAUGUAAACUUCUAUCAGCAGGGAAGAAAAUGACGGUACCUGACUAAGAAGCCCCGGCUAACUACGUGCCAGCAGCCGCGGUAAUACGUAGGGGGCAAGCGUUAUCCGGAUUUACUGGGUGUAAAGGGAGCGUAGACGGCNNUGUGNNCAAGUUNNCUGAANGUGAAAGGCAUGGGCUCAACCUGUGGACUGCUUUGGAAACUGUGCAGCUAGAGUGUCGGAGAGGUAAGUGGAAUUCCUAGUGUAGCGGUGAAAUGCGUAGAUAUUAGGAGGAACACCAGUGGCGAAGGC
rnacentral:rRNA from 1 species